rnacentral:lncRNA from 1 species
CUUGGCUUUCCACUCUGGAGGACAGGUUCGAAUCUCGGGUCCCACUCCUUCAAAAUAUUUAUCGGGAUUCGGCCGGCGUCGAUCCCCGUCUCCACAAUCCGGCUGAUUCCUCCGCAGGGGUGAACAGGCUGUGGAAGGGCUCGUUUCGCCCCGCCACUUUCCAUUCACUUUCUGAAUGGAAAGUGGCGUCAUCUGUUGACAAAAAAAAAAAAAAAAAUACAGUGUGUGUUCGAGCAAAUUUGAGACGAUUUUACGUAUAGUUUUUGUUCUUAAGAACGCAAUGAUGAAUUCCGUUUGUGUAUUUGAUACGAUGGCCAUCCUAUGCGCUAACCAUUCUACAUUUUUGCUUCCAUGCUUCAAAAACCGAUCGACAUUUUUCAGGGAUAAUUUUUGCAAACUUUCCAGAGUCCUGGCAGUAUAUGGGUUUUUGUCAAGAAAAGGGUUAGCUUUAAAUAACCAAAGCCGAAGUAAUCGAUUGGCGAGAUGUCUGAGGACUUGGCGGGGAUCAGUUCAUUC